CAAGCAAUGAAUAUGCAUGCCUGAACUUAAUUCUUAGGUUGUAUAACAGCAGCUACUCAGAAAUAGCUAUAAUGUGAAGACUACUUGAAAUCAUAAGGGAUGAUCACCUUCACAGCCCCAUUUCAGAACUUUCUGCACACUUGAGGGGCAGGCUGAAUAAUUUCUUAAUGGGACAAGGCAUCAGUCCUAAAUGUCUCAGAUGCACUAUGGGAUGGGAUGGUACUGGACAGAAGACUAUUACCACCAUGGGAAAGUGGCAGGAGAACUAUGCAAGGAAGAAGGAAGGCAAUGGACUCAAUGAGAGGAAAUAAACUGAAGCUGAAUCCAGAUAAGACUCAGGCAUGCACAUGAGCAAGAGAACCACAUUUGGAGCUUAGGUUUCACUUCUUAACACUGCAGCCGUUCUCACUACCCAUGAAGCUUUCUCCCAAGUGUAUAUGGUCUUUCUUUCGAUGCCAGCAUCAGUGUAUUUUAAACGUGUUGUUUUGAACGUAUCUUAAAUAUGAUGUAUGUUACACAUGCCAUUGUACUGCAGAAAACAAAAGAGGG